GUAUCAUGGCUCAGGAUGAACGCUAGCUACAGGCUUAACACAUGCAAGUCGAGGGGCAGCAUGGUCUUAGCUUGCUAAGGCUGAUGGCGACCGGCGCACGGGUGAGUAACACGUAUCCAACCUGCCGUCUACUCUUGGCCAGCCUUCUGAAAGGAAGAUUAAUCCAGGAUGGGAUCAUGAGUUCACAUGUCCGNAUGAUUAAAGGUAUUUUCCGGUAGACGAUGGGGG
rnacentral:rRNA from 1 species